CUUGACUGUAUCCUGGAAUUGGGUUCGGGCUUUUCUUGCGCAGCCUAGGUGGGAGGCUAUGAAGAUUUCCUUCCGGGGAAGUUGGAGCCAUCAGUGAGAGACCACUCUGGAGAGGCUAGAAUCCUAGUGGUGAUCCUUGAAUCAGGACACUUGACAGUUUCAGGUGGGCAGUUUGACUGGGGCGGUCGCCUCCUAAAGGGUAACUGAGGCGCGCAAAGGUCCCCUCAGUCUGGACGGAAAUCAGACAACGAGUGUAAAGGCAAAAGGGGGCUUGACUGCAAGACCUACAAGUCGAGCAGGAGCGAAAGCUGGCCUUAGUGAUCCGACGGUACCGUGUGGAAGGGCCGUCGCUCAACGAAUAAAAGUUA
rnacentral:rRNA from 1 species